AUUGAGUGGGAAUAAGACAUUAAAUUAAUAAUAUUUGUGAAGCCUAUCUUAAAGCGUUUUUCAACUUGUUAAAUGUUUUAAAUGCUUGAUUUAUGAUAGUAUUCACCACCAAAAGACCCCCCCAAGAUAUAUUUCUUGGGGGGUUAAUU
rnacentral:sRNA from 21 species